rnacentral:rRNA from 1 species
UACGUAGGGACCGAGCGUUGUCCGGAUUCAUUGGGCGUAAAGAGCUCGUAGGCGGCUGUUCAAGUCGAACGUGAAAACUCGGAGCUCAACUCCGAGCCUGCGUUCGAUACUGGACGGCUAGAGUCUGGUAGGGGGAUCUGGAAUUCCUGGUGUAGCGGUGGAAUGCGCAGAUAUCAGGAGGAACACCGGUGGCGAAGGCGGGAUCCUGGGCCAGUACUGACGCUGAGGAGCGAAAAGCGUGGGGGAGCAAACAGG